GAUGAACGCUGGCGGCGUGCCUAAUACAUGCAAGUCGAGCGAACAGACGAGGAGCUUGCUCCUUUGACGUUAGCGGCGGACGGGUGAGUAACACGUAGGUAACCUACCUAUAAGACUGGGAUAACUUCGGGAAACCGGAGCUAAUACCGGAUAAUAUUUCGAACCGCAAGGUUCGAUAGUGAAAGAUGGCUUUGCUAUCACUUAUAGAUGGACCUGCGCCGUAUUAGCUAGUUGGUAAGGUAACGGCUUACCAAGGCAACGAUACGUAGCCGACCUGAGAGGGUGAUCGGCCACACUGGAACUGAGACACGGUCCAGACUCCUACGGGAGGCAGCAGUAGGGAAUCUUCCGCAAUGGGCGAAAGCCUGACGGAGCAACGCCGCGUGAGUGAUGAAGGUCUUCGGAUCGUAAAACUCUGUUAUUAGGGAAGAACAAACGUGUAAGUAACUGUGCACGUCUUGACGGUACCUAAUCAGAAAGCCACGGCUAACUACGUG
rnacentral:rRNA from 1 species